rnacentral:vault_RNA from 1 species
GUGGAGGUGUAGCUCAGUGGUUACUUCGCGUCAAUCCAAGUAUUACUGCUCCAAUCCUUUGGUUACCAAACUCUGCAGGGUUCGAACCACGGGCGCUGUUCUCUGCUUUU